UAUGUCACGAGCGUAGCGAGUGGCAUAAUUAACCUGAGUUUGAUUAAAACCGCUCAGACAAACUGACGUCAUAUCGGCGCGCAGCGAUUGCGCAGUAACAAAUCUACGAACACGACUUCAAACGCGCUGACACGAAGUGAGACUACUGAUUCACUUUAUAUUGUGGCUCAGUCCAGUUGAUAAGCAUGUCACUGUUCUGUGUGCUGACGUACGCUUCAGACGGGACGUGGCGUCUUUCCGUCUACGUAGAUAAAAUGAUAUUUAAAACCAUUUGCACACUGAAUUUAACGCAAUUGAAUUGAUAUGGGCCUAUGUUAAAAACAAAAUGACAAAGAACAACAACACCUAUAAAAUUAACGACGUUCUCAAUUUGUGUCGCGAUGCAAUUGCUUCAGUUACGCCACAAAUCUGGAAAAAUUGUGUCAGACACGUUAAGAAAACUGAAGAGAAAUACACCUUGUCGAUAUCGCCAUGUACGAGGCAACAGUUAAUAUGAAAGCGAUAACAGUGCUUCAUCAGACGAGAUUGAUGAAACGAUGUUUGGUGAAGUAUAGAGUAGUAUAAUCAAUACUAAGUGUCAAUCACUAAGUGUAAAACACCAUUAAUGGUACGUAUUAGUAAAUAAAAGUAGUGAAUUAGAAGGAAGACGGCCAAAUGAGAAAAUAUUUGGUCGCUUGGAGGAAAAUUUGAAAACAUUUGGUUCUUUCAAAAAAUCUGGACCAAAAACGUAUAAUAAAGAAAAUGAAGAAAUAAAUGUUUACUGGCAUUUCGAAAAACCACUGUUUUCGAGUUUUACAUAAACACCGUGAUAGCCAAAAAAGGCUUGAAUUUUGUCAUUGAUACCUAGUUCAGGUUAAUGAAAACCCAGGUUUCAGUAGAACAGUUAUCUGGACCGAUGGAGCACACAUUAGCAGUGCGGGCAUAUUUAAUAAAAAUAACCAACAUAUAUGGUCAAACGUAAAUCCCCAAAACACCAUUGAAAGGCGUAUUCAAGGCCAUUUAGGUUGUAACGUAUGGGUAGCAUUACUAAAUAAUCACGUUUUAGCAUAUCAAAUAUACGAAGAAAAUUUAAACGCCGAACGGUAUUUAAACAUUUUAACAAAUCACAUUGAAAGAUAUGUUGAUGGUUUACCAUUAAGUGAUGUGAAAAAAAUAUAUUUUCGCUGGCGCAUAAAGCUAGGCCGGACACCAUGGGUGGUCACCAAGAUCACCGGAUUUGGCACCACUGGAUUUUUUCUUUGGGGUUACAUAAAAAACCAGUUAUAUUUAAUGGAUAAUGGAAAUAUAAGAGAAUUAAAGACAAAUGAGCGUUGUCUCAAUUCUUUUUCCAAUAUAAAUAUUUUUAACGCAAUAAAGUGUUAGAAAACGUUGUGAAAUUUGCAUCGAAAAAAGAGGUAGUUAAUUUAAGUAUUUUUUAUAGCAUUGUUUUAAUAGUCUUUGGGUAAUAAAAUUAUUAGUUUUUGUUGUUAAAU